UGAGACAAGGGUUUCCAUGCGCGUUUCUAAUAUCUAACAGGAAUGACUCCCAGAUGCUGUCCAUAUUUUUCCAGCACAUAAAGAGGCAGGUUGGAUCAAUUUCGCUAAAUGUUUUUAUGUCUGAUUUGGCAGAGUCUUUCUUUAUUGCAUGGAAUGAUGUCAUGGCAGCUCCAUCUAUGCGACUUUAUUGUACAUGGCAUGUUGAUAGAUGUUGGAGGAAGAAUAUAAAAUGUAAGAUUCAAGGUGUAGAAAAACAAGGUGAAGUAUACAAGCAAAUCAGAACUUUGAUGCAUGAGCAGGAUGUAGAUUCAUUUGAUGAGAUGUUAAAUAUUGUGCUAGAGAGAUUGGAAUGUGAUCCUGAUACAGUUCAAUUUGCCACAUACUUCCGAGACAACUAUGUUGGGAAUGCAAAUUGUUGGGCAUAUUGCCAUAGAUUGAAUGCUGGAAUCAAUACCAAUAUGCAUAUAGAAAGAAUGCAUCGCACUAUUAAAUAUAUAUAUCUAGGUAGUAAAUGUGUCAAGCGUUUAGACAAAGCUAUUUUUGCAUUGAUGUCAUUUGUCAAGCACAAGCUGUUUGGCAGGCUUAUUGUGCUAAAUAAAGGUAAACUGACGAGUAAACUUAAGGACAUUCGCCUUCGGCAUAAAUCAGGGAAUAAUAUUAAGGAGGACUUCAUUACUAUGGAUUUUUCUGGUUGGAAAGUGCAUUCUUCUUCAAGGUCAACAGAUUAUUUUGUAUAUGAUAAUGACUUUCAGUGCAACUGCAGAUUGAUGUGCAUUAAAUGCAGGGCUUGCAUUCAUAGGUAUUCUUGUACAUGUAUUGACUAUACCAUCAAAUGGAAUAUGUGCAAGCACAUACAUAGUGUUUGCCAGAUUCAGUUAAAGCAGCAACCUUCUAAACACCUAAGAAAUAGUGAAGUUACACUUAUUGAGAGUGAAGAUAUUUCUGUUGUAGACGAGAAAAUAGAAAUACUAGCGGAGGUAACGAAAAAAAGUGUUAAUGAUUCUGUACCUUUGUCAGUCCAAAGAAGGGAACUUAUCGCAGAGUUUUCUGGUAUUGUAUCUGAACUGACCUCAAAUGACUUGGAAACUGCUAAAAAAUGUUAUCAUCACUAAAGGCAACUGUAGCUGUCGGAAUGUUGCAGCAAAAACAGGCACCGCUGCAAAUAGAAAGAAAACAAGCACAAAAGAUUUUACCUCAACGUAGACUGUACUCUACAAAGAAAAACAAAAGGGGUAAUAAUGCAUCCCUGGUGCUACCAAAUUCAGAAGAAUCCAGUUUGAUCAAAUUAUCUCUACUGGCAGACAAAGAAGAUGCACUUGUGGAAAAAGGUAUGUUACUAGUGCCCCCGCCCCUUCCCCACCCAACAACGUACAUCCCUGCAGCAAAAAAUGCUUGUAAUGAAGCAGUCUGGUAAAAUUCUACGUAUGACAAGUGACAUAGUGUGCUGCUGAUGGCAAUGAUCAAUUAUGAAGUAAAUAAUUAAUGCUGUUCCUGUUCUCUAGUUGUCAGGUUCUCGUAUGUACCCUUGUUUGCCCAGUAAUUUAAUUAUCCUUGUAAAGCAAACAUUUAGAACAAGUAUUCACAAGAAACAAAAUAUACACAAUAAAUAAACGGUCAUUGCCAGUAUCACAGCACCACGCCGCCUGAGCUGUAAGUAAAAUUUAACCAGUGCUCUAUUAUCUAUUAAUGUCAGCAGUCUAAUAUAAUAUACUGUUUGCAGGUUCAGCUGUUCAAAAGCAACCAACAAUAAAAAGUACAGAGGGUGUAGCAGGUCCAUUCCCCAUUACAGCAUGUGCCCUACAGCACAGCCCGACGAAUCUUACAGCAAUCCGGUUUGCAGUUCUGCUUGCAGGCUCAACUCCCAUGAUUCAGCCAAUAUCAAAACAGGCUGAGGUGGUAUCUAGUCCGUCUCUCGCUACAUCGUAUGUGCUGAAACACAGCCCGAGGAAUAGCUCAACUUCCACAAUUCAACCAAUACCAAAACAGGCUGUGGUGGUACCACAUCCAUCCAUCCAUCGGUACAGUACGUGUGUUGCUACACAGCUCAACAAAUGGUGCUGUUCUCCCACAUUUAAACCAGUGACAGAGCAGGAUAAGAUGGUAUCAGUGCCUUCCCUUACUACAGCGCAUGUUCUGCAACACGGCUAUGGAAUGGUAUUAUAAAUUCAGGCAGUAUUUGUGGAUCCUUUCUGAUCUGAAAUUUUUGCUUGUCAACUACAACCUUCCUUAUGAUAUUUCAUUUCUGAUUUAUACCAAAGACAAGUGUCCUUUUGUUUAAUUGAAAUUUUUUUACCACUUGUCAGACUGGUUUUUCUUCACAAAAUAUAUUAGUACAAAUAUAGCUAUAUAAUAGUGUGAUACAUUCUUUCUGCAUUGAUGAUAUUAUGGCCAAUAUUUCACAUUACAGGCAUAGGCAGUUGUCUUGGUUACGAAUUAAAGUGUAUCAGGAUCACAUACAUCCUUGUUGUGAAUCAUGUUGUCUGCACUGGCGAUUUGUUCACGUGUCCCAGUACACCUCACACAUGAAGUACACUUCACUAGGAAAAUUAAAAAAUGCUGUAAUUUUUGAAUCACUGCAGAUAGGAUGUAAACUCUUUCACCUUAAUCCAUAAGAAACACUACAGUUUACAUCCUUAAUGGACAUUACAUGCUAGUUACACCAAGAAUUAUAUUUAGCAAUAGUUUUUAAAUGAGGCUAAAUUUCACUCCAUAGUCUUCCUUAUAAUAAUAUCAUAUAUAAAAACAAAGAUGAGGUGACUUACCGAACAAAAGCGCUGGCAGGUCGAUAGACACACAAACAAACACAAACAUACACACAAAAUUCAAGCUUUCGCAACAAACUGUUGCCUCAUCAGGAAAGAGGGAAGGAGAGGGGAAGACGAAAGGAAGUGGGUUUUAAAGGAGAGGGUAAGGAGUCAUUCCAAUCCCGGGAGCGGAAAGACUUACCUUAGGGGGAAAGAAGGACAGGUAUACACUCG